ACGUAGGAGGCGAGCGUUAUCCGGAUUUACUGGGCGUAAAGCGCGUGCAGGCGGUGCGAUAAGUCGUGCGUGAAAGCGCCCGGCUCAACCGGGCGAGGACGUACCGAACUGCGGGACUAGAGGCAGGCAGAGGCGUGUGGAAUUCCGGGUGUAGUGGUGAAAUGCGUAGAGAUCCGGAGGAACCCCGGUGGCGAAGGCGACUUGCUGGGCCUGAACUGACGCUCAGACGCGAAAGCAUGGGGAGCGAACGG
rnacentral:rRNA from 1 species